GGUCGCAUGGUGUAGUUGGUUAUCACGUCAGUCUCACACACUGAAGGUCCUCAGUUCGAGCCUGAGUGCGAUCA
rnacentral:tRNA from 1 species